rnacentral:misc_RNA from 1 species
GAAAAUGGAAGAGGGAAAGAAGGAGAAGAAGAAGGUAAUGGUGGCAGUAGAUGACAGCGAGUUUAGCCACUACGCUCUCGAAUGGGCCCUUGAUUUUUUAAAAGACGCCAUAGCCAACUCUGAUCUUGUCAUCUUCACUGCUCAGUCCAAUUCUAACUUCGGCUAUGUUUAUGCUUCCUCUUUUGGUUCUGCUCCUCCGGAUUUGAUUGCAUCUAUACAAGAAAAUCAACACAAGGUUGCAUUAGCUCUCCUGGAGAAAGCCAAAAGCAUCUGUGCCAACCAUGGGAUUGUUGCAGAGAUAUUGACAGAGAUUGGAGAUCCCAAAGAGGCAAUAUGUGAGGCAGUAGAAAAGCACAACGUCCAACUUCUUGUAUUAGGCAGUCAUAGCCGGGGUGCUAUACAGAGGGCUUUCCUUGGAAGUGUCAGCAACUACUGUAUUCACAAUGCCAAGUGCCCUGUUCUUGUUGUGAAG